rnacentral:misc_RNA from 1 species
AACGCACAUUGCGCCUCCGGGUAUUCCUGGAGGCAUGCCUGUUCGAGCGUCGUUUAGACCAUGAGGCUUUGCCUUGCGAUGGCAUUCGGGGUCGGUCCCGUUUGCCGAAACAUGUUGGCAUUUGAAGUUGGCCGAGUACAGCAAAAUUGUAUGACAGUCAAAAUCGAAGCGCUUGAAACACUUACAAGGUCGACCUCGGAUCAGGCAAGAUUACCCGCUGAACUUAA